UGGCUCAGAUGGUAAAGCGUCUGCCUACAAUGCAGGAGACCCGGGUUCAAUCCCUGG
rfam:Ovis aries breed Texel chromosome 9, whole genome shotgun sequence.